CCACCUGCGGCGUGCCUAACACAUGCAGUCGAGCGAAGUAUAUUUAAGUGAAGUUUUCGGACGGAAUUUAAAUAUAUCUUAGCGGCGGACGGGUGAGUAACGCGUGAGCAACCUGCCUUUCACAAAGGGAUAGCCUCGGGAAACUGGGAUUAAUACCAUAUGAUACUUAACUUUCGCAUGAAAGAUAAGUUAAAGCGAAUAAGCGGUGAGAGAUGGGCUCGCGUCCUAUUAGCUAGUUGGUGAGGUAACGGCUCACCAAGGCGACGAUAGGUAGCCGGCCUGAGAGGGUGAACGGCCACACUGGAACUGAGACACGGUCCAGACUCCUACGGGAGGCAGCAGUGGGGGAUAUUGCACAAUGGAGGAAACUCUGAUGCAGCCGACGCCGCGUGAGUGAAGAAGGCCUUCGGGUCGUAAAAGCUCCUGUUCCCUAGGGGGAAAGAUAAUUGACCGGUACCCCUAGGGAGGGAAAGCCCCCGGGCUUAACUUACGUUUGCCCAACCAGGCCCCGCGGGUUAAUUACCUUAAGGGGGGGCCCAAACCCGUUUUGUC
rnacentral:rRNA from 1 species